ensembl:processed_transcript BC046401 cDNA sequence BC046401
UUCCUCCUGGCAAAAAGCAGAAAACAGAUGCAAAGAUGGGGGCUGGGGUAAAACUGUCCCUCUAGCAAAGACUGUGGUGGGAAGGUGGACCCAGAGCACUGCAAGAGCUCUUUAAAUGACCCCAUCUCUCACAAAAGAACACGGCUUAGGCCCUCAGAGACCCCAGGAUCAGGCUGUACCAGCGCAGGCCUUCCAGGGCUGGAGCCAGAGGCAAGCAGCCUCUGCAGGAAGCAGGCCCAGCAGCUUCUCACCCAGAACCAGGAAGUGCGUGGAAGGAGGAGAGAGGUCACACUCAGCUUGGGAGAAAAAUGUCCCUUCACCUGGCGGCUUCCACACCAGCAAGGGUUUCCGACUCCCUUUAGUUGUGACGCUCUUUCAGCCAUGAAGAAAGCCUGCGGAUCUGUCUCUACAGUGCCCCCCACCCUCUCCAGGCAUCGAAUCAAUAUGUGAAAUGCCAACCACCAAAAAGACCAAGCAGGACAGAAAUGGCUAUCAGCCAAGAAAAGAGGCUGACAAAUUGUGUUUAACCCUCAACCACCAGACUAGUGGCUAUAGCUUGGGCCUUCCUCAUAUUCAGCUUUGGGGGGAGGGGGGGGGAAGUGUCCCAGUGUCCCAGGCUAGAGAGAGACAGAGUCAGUACUGCACACCUCCCAGUCCUAAGACUUCCUCCAGCAUGGGUACCUAGCUAGGUCCUUCCUUUGGUGCCCACCAAACAUUGCUGGCUCUGAAACAGGUUCUGGGAUUGAUACCAAACACAUUCAUCCCACCCCAGAGCUAGGCCCCGGGGCCUGUGGCUUGUAAACUGCAGAGGGGGGAGGGGUGGCAGCAAGAGAGGGCCUACUGAUUCAUAGGGUCAGACGAAGAAGG